UGUCAGGAGAGCCAGGCCGGGCCGGUUCCCCGCCCCUCGGCCCGCCGCCUCCGCCGCCGGGCGCGCCCUCAGCCCCGCGGCUGCAGCCUGCUGGGCCGGGCGGGCCGCCGACCACCGCCCGGGCGGGCCGCGGGCCGGAGCGGGACCCCGGAUAGGCGGGCCGCCGCCUGAGGCCUGCCGCCAGGAGGCCCUCUGCUCGUCGAAACCGGAGGCCCGGCGGGCCGCAAGCGGCCGGGAGACCCCCGGGCCGACCCAGGCUGGGCCGCAGCCCCCACUCAGCGCUGACCUACACCGGCAGCCGGGACAAAGGAGGGAGCCACGGGCUGGGCCUGUGCGGCUGCGGGAGAAGGUCCUAGAGAAAACCUUGAAGGCAGGCGGAGAGCAAAAGACCAAGAUGCCUCACAUCUAAGGCCACACGGCUCCAAAACCAAGACAAGGGCAAGACCCAGCCAGGACUGAUAUGUGAGGCCGAAGGGAACGGUACGACCACAAAGAAGCCCGGGAACAAAGGCUUGUCCAGAAACAGGCGAAACUGAAGUGGAAGCGAGGGGGGACAGAGCCAUCACCAUAAAGUAAACCAGGCCAAGGAGCAGAGCCUGAGAAAUGACAACUGAGAGAGCGAUGAAAACAGGAUUCGGACUGCACAUGGGGGGAGGGCAUAAAUCCAGAGGGGGGAGAGACCCAAUAGGAUUACCAAACUGUGACAGCCCUCUCAACAGAGCGACUUAGAUCAAAAGGGAGAAAUGUGGGAACCUGAGGCUGCACCAGGACUGUGAGGGAACAAAGAAAGGGUUUCUGGAGCAAAACUGGUUAGGGCAAUGCGAGGGAAGCCAGUAGCCAAUUAUUCUCAGCCCUAGAGAAAGAAGAAAGGAGACGUAAAUAUGAGCAGGGAUUUACUUAGGACCAUUUUGUAAAAGGGUUCCCAGCGUCAUCGGGUUCUCUAUUCAGUUGUAUAUCUUUCAGUCCCAGUAGUCAUGGGUUGACGAUAACCAAAAGUAGUGAAUGAGGAAUUCCAAGAUGGUAGCUCACACCUGUAAUCCUAGCCCUCAGGAGGCUGAAGCAGAUUUGCUACAAAUUCUAGGCCUGUCUGGGCCUCACAGUAAGACUGUUUCAAGCAAACACAAUGAUACUUUUAGCCCACUUCUGGCCCAUUCAACAGUCGCCGGCUGUGCAAGAAUCUAAGUUAUUGCCAAACCAUACAAUGCAGAAGCUCUGAGGCUUUCAGUGGGCCUGGUGUUGAAUUGCUGGUUUGCCUUGGAAGAUUCACACAGCACGACGGAGUUGGGAGGACAUCUAGUGGCAGAGAUCUCAAAGAAUACAACAUUUUGGGGCUGGAGAGAUGACUCAGAGAUUAAGAACACUGACUGCUCUUUAGAUGUCCUGAGUUCAAUCCCCAGGAUCCACAUGUGGCUCACAACCAUCUGUAAUGGGAUCUGAUUCCCUCUUCUGGUAUGUGUGAAGACAGGUCAUAUAUAUAUGACACAAGAAGGAUGUUUGCUUUGGCAGGACAUAUACUACAACUGGAACAAUAUAGAGAAGAUUAGCAUGUCUCCUGUGCAAGGAUGACAUGCAAAUUAAUGAA